AUGGUGAUGAGCUCGUGGCUUUCUUUUAUUCUCACACGCACAGUCGCUGGAGGCAGAAACAAACACAGAGCCCCGCAGAGUUCGCCCCCAGAUCUGCCCGCCCCUCGGUCCCACCCCUCCAGCCCCGCCUCCCUCUCCCACCGCUUCCUCCCUCCCCUUCACCUCCUCAGGGUCCUCGGCUGCCCCCGUGCGGCCUUUCUCGGUACUGCAUCAGCCCGCCCGGGUUACCCAGUCCUUGGCCCCCGCGUCCAUUGCAAAGGUGAGGCGCUGCGUCAUCCAUCUCCUGGCCUCGGGCGGGCAAGCCGUCGUCUCCAAACCCUCAAAGACUUCAUCAUUCUCGGAGACCAGCCUCAACUCUUACGUAUGGCUCCGGAUCCUUCUUGCUGCUUUCCAGGCUGCUGGCAGGAGCCGCGGAAGCAGCACUGCACCCUGCUGGCUGGGGCGGCCAUGCAGGCAGCAGGGAGGUGGGCACAGGAUGCACUUGAGAGAGACGAUCACCUAUGGAACGGGGGCCUCUGGGAGUGGCCAGACACACACACACACAAGCACCCACACGCCCAGGCCGCCAGGUGCACACACACAGGCACACACACCCGAAAGCACCAAGUGCCCAUGUGUGCACCUGUCCCUGUCACGCACAGCGCCAUCACUGCCCAGUCAGCCCCAUUUUCCCUCUGUCCCUCCUGUGCCGUGUUCCCCCUCCACCCCUCUCCCGCCCACGACCUAAGGAAACCAGUGCUUACUGUAAACUGCAAAUACAAAUUCCUUUCCACGCCUAAAGCCUCGGAUCACCUAGCCCGCCCCUCAGACCUCAUCUCCCACCCCCAUGCCCUCGCCCAUUACUCACUAUUUCUCCAGCAAACACAUGGCUUCAGGCCCCUCGCGCUUCUGUUUCCUCUUCGGGAAGUGUUCUUCCCCCAGGUCCUCCAGUGCCUGCCUCCUCCCUGUCUUUUAGGCCCAGUUUAUUUUAUUUUUGUCUUUUUAGGGCCACACCCACAGCAUAUGGAGGUUCCCAGGCUAGGGGUCGAAUUAGAGCUGUAA
rnacentral:lncRNA from 1 species